AGAACGAACGCUGGCGGCAGGCUUAACACAUGCAAGUCGAGCGGGCCCUUCGGGGUCAGCGGCAGACGGGUGAGUAACGCGUGGGAACGUACCAUUUGCUACGGAAUAACUCAGGGAAACUUGCUGCUAAUACCGUAUGAGCCCCCCUUUAAAAUUUCAGGAAUCAUAAAAUGCCCUGGCAUUUUAUGGGGGGGAAAGAUUUAUCGGCAAAUGAUCGGCCCGCGUUGGAUUAGCUAGUUGGUGGGGUAAAGGCCUACCAAGGCGACGAUCCAUAGCUGGUCUGAGAGGAUGAUCAGCCACACUGGGACUGAGACACGGCCCAGACUCCUACGGGAGGCAGCAGUGGGGAAUAUUGGACAAUGGGCGCAAGCCUGAUCCAGCCAUGCCGCGUGAGUGAUGAAGGCCCUAGGGUUGUAAAGCUCUUUCACCGGUGAAGAUAAUGACGGUAACCGGAGAAGAAGCCCCGGCUAACUUCGUGCCAGCAGCCGCGGUAAUACGAAGGGGGCUAGCGUUGUUCGGAUUUACUGGGCGUAAAGCGCACGUAGGCGGGCUAAUAAGUCAGGGGUGAAAUCCCGGGGCUCAACCCCGGAACUGCCUUUGAUACUGUUAGUCUUGAGUAUGGUAGAGGUGAGUGGAAUUCCGAGUGUAGAGGUGAAAUUCGUAGAUAUUCGGAGGAACCACCCCAGUGGCGAAGGCGGCUCACUGGACCAUUACUGACGCUGAGGUGCGAAAGCGUGGGGAGCAAACARGAUUAGAUACCCUGGUASUCCACGCCGUAAACGAUGAAUGUUACCCGUUGGGGAGUUUACUCUUCNGUGGCGCAGCUAACGCAUUAAACAUUCCGCCUGGAGAGUACNGUCGCAAGAUUAAAACUCAAAGGAAUUGACGGGGGCCCNCACAAGCGGUGGAGCAUGUGNUUUANU
rnacentral:rRNA from 1 species